AACUGAUGAAUGAGUCAUACUGAAUCAUGCCCUUUUGGCUGGGAACAGUAAACCAAGAUAUGUAAAUGAUGCAGCCAAACUCCGACUUUCAGCAGGCAGAAAAGAUGGCUGAACAGGAACUCUGCUAGAAUCCCCAGAACUGUGAACGUGGUGGAACAGUUCAAAGCGGUCAGAGCAGCGAACGCGGUGACGGAGAAGCAAGAGAAUAGUCCUCCCCCUGAGAGUGGGAUUGAUUUGAUGUCCUCAGAGUCUCUCUGCAGAUGUUCAGCUUUAACUUGGACCGCAGCUUCUCUGGCAUGAGUCCUCAGGAGGUAACGAAUUUCUCUGUUUUGUUUUCUAGUACCUAUUACUGUAUGGUUUGCUCUUUCAC
rnacentral:lncRNA from 1 species